CCUACGGGAGGCAGCAGUCGGGAAUUUUGCGCAAUGGACGAAAGUCUGACGCAGCAACGCCGCGUGAGGGAUGACGGCCUUCGGGUUGUAAACCUCUUUUGUCAGGGACGAUGAUGACGGUACCUGGCGAAUAAGCACG
rnacentral:rRNA from 1 species